GACGAACGCUGGCGGCGUGCCUAAUACAUGCAAGUCGAACGAAGCUGUUUUAACUGGUGCUUGCACCGACUUAAACAACUGAGUGGCGAACGGGUGAGUAACACGUGGGUAACCUGCCCCAAAGCGGGGGAUAACAUUUGGAAACAGAUGCUAAUACCGCAUAACCACAGAAACCACAUGGUUUCUGUGUCAAAGAUGGUUUCGGCUAUCACUUUGGGAUGGACCCGCGGCGUAUUAGCUAGUUGGUAAGGUAAUGGCUUACCAAGGCAAUGAAACGUAACCGAAAUGAUAGGUUGAUCGGCCACAUUGGGACUGAGACACGGCCCAAACUCCUACGGGAGGCAGCAGUAGGGAAUCCUCCACAAUGGACGAAAGUCUGAUGGAGCAACGCCGCGUGAGUGAAGAAGGUUUUCGGAUCGUAAAACUCUGUUGUCAGAGAAGAACGUGUGCGAGAGUAACUGCUCGUGCAGUGACGGUAUCUGGCCAGAAAGCCACGGCUAACUACGUGCCAGCCGCCGCAGUAA
rnacentral:rRNA from 1 species